AGUGAACGCUGGCGGUAGGCCUAACACAUGCAAGUCGAACGGCAGCACAGUAAGAGCUUGCUCUUACGGGUGGCGAGUGGCGGACGGGUGAGGAAUAUAUCGGAAUCUACUUUUUCGUGGGGGUUAACGUAGGGAAACUUACGCUAAUACCGCAUACGACCUACGGGUGAAAGCAGGGGAUCUUCGGACCUUGCGCGAUUGAAUGAGCCGAUGUCGGAUUAGCUAGUUGGCGGGGUAAAGGCCCACCAAGGCGACGAUCCGUAGCUGGUCUGAGAGGAUGGUCAGCCACACUGGAAGUGGGACACGGUCAAGACUCCUACGGGAGGCAGCAGUGGGGAAUAUUGGACAAUGGGCGCAAGCCUGAUCCAGCCAUACCGCGUGGGUGAAGAAGGCCUUCGGGUUGUAAAGCCCUUUUGUUGGGAAAGAAAAGCAGCAGGUUAAUACCCCGCUGUUCUGACGGUACCCAAAGAAUAAGCACCGGCUAACUUCGUG
rnacentral:rRNA from 1 species